UACAGAGGUCUCAAGCGUUGUUCGGAUUCAUUGGGCGUAAAGGGUGCGUAGGCGGCGCGGUAAGUCGGGUGUGAAAUCUCGGAGCUUAACUCCGAAACUGCAUUCGAUACUGCCGUGCUUGAGGACUGGAGAGGAGACUGGAAUUUACGGUGUAGCGGUGAAAUUCGUAGAUAUCGUGAGGAAGACCAGUGGCGAAGGCGGAUCUCUGGACAGCUCCUGACGCUGAGGCGCGAAGGCUAGGGGAGCAAACGGG
rnacentral:rRNA from 1 species